AGAGUUUGAUCCUGGCUCAGAACGAACGCUGGCGGCAGGCUUAACACAUGCAAGUCGAACGAUGUAGCAAUACAUAGUGGCGCACGGGUGAGUAACGCGUGGGAAUAUACCUUAUAGUGGGGAAUAACUUUGGGAAACUAAAGCUAAUACCGCAUACGCCCGAGAGGGGAAAGAUUUAUCGCUAUAAGAUUAGCCCGCGUGAGAUUAGGUAGUUGGUGGGGUAAUGGCCUACCAAGCCUACGAUCUCUAGCUGGUCUGAGAGGAUGAUCAGCCACACUGGAACUGAGACACGGUCCAGACUCCUACGGGAGGCAGCAGUGGGGAAUAUUGGGCAAUGGAGGAAACUCUGACCCAGCCAUGCCGCGUGAAUGAUGAAGGCCUUAGGGUUGUAAAGUUCUUUCGCCGAUGAAGAUAAUGACGGUAGUCGGAGAAGAAGCCCCGGCUAACUUCGUGCCAGCAGCCGCGGUAAUACGAAGGGGGCUAGCGUUGUUCGGAAUUACUGGGCGUAAAGCGAGCGUAGGUUGCUCGAUAAGUCAGUGGUGAAAGCCCAGAGCUCAACUCUGGAACUGCCAUUGAAACUGUCGAGCUGGAAUCUCAGAGGGGGUAGCGGAAUUCCAAAUGUAGGGGUGAAAUCCGUAGAUAUUUGGAGGAACACCAGUGGCGAAGGCGGCUCACUGGACCGUUGCUGACGCUGAGGCGCGAAAGCGUGGGGAGCGAACAGGAUUAGAUACCCUGGUAGUCC
rnacentral:rRNA from 1 species